CAGACGGAGAAGCGGAGGAGAAGCCGGAAGUGCCUCUCUGGCAAGUCGGCCAGGGAACAUACUAGAGAGCUAGUGGGGGUCACGGGGGGAGGUAGAAAAGCUGAGAGGUUCCUCAAGGUAGCUGGCCUUCGAGAAGGCAGGCAGCUGUGGGCUGUGAAACGACGCAGCAGGGUCACUUUUGAGAAGUGCUAUGAAGAGACUGAGGCUCAGAGAAGCCGGUGAACUUUGCCCAAGAUCAUUCGGCUGGUUGAGCAGAAGAAUCAAGACUCAGACUCUGUCUGUGACGCCAGCGGACUCUUGGCAACAAGACGAUGGACCCUCCGAUAUGCUUGACUCCCCAGGUUGCCAGGAGGAAGAUGGCCAGGCAGAGCCCCACUCCCAAGGCCACUCGCCUGCUGAUGGUGGCUGAGCUAUCUGAUAGAGAAAGGAGACUCUUCAGACACCCUGUAUAUGCACAGAUAGAGAACAAUCUCCAAGUGCUGUUAUUACAUGGAAGAAAGGGAAGUUCAGGGCAACGGGUGAGCUCUCCCACAAAAGAAGGAUAUAUGGACAUAAAUAACAAAGUUAUUAUAAGAAGCGGACAUCCGUGGGGCGGCUACUUAAGAAGUCACAUUGGAGGAGAACCGGGUUCCCAGAGCGAAUCUCAUU